GUGCUGAAGGAGGGGGCUGUGGCCCAUCAGCUUGUUGGUAGGGUAACGGCCUACCAAGGCGACGACGGGUAGGGGGCCUGAGAGGGUGACCCCCCACACUGGGACUGAGACACGGCCCAG
rnacentral:rRNA from 1 species